GCUGGGCGUGGUGGCGGGCACCUGUAAUCCCAGCUACUUGGGAGGCUGAGGCAGGAGAAUUGCUUGAACCUGGGAGGCGGAGUUUGCAGUGAGCCGAGGUCGCACCACUGCACUCUAGCCUGGGUGACAGAGCAAGACUCUGCCUCAA
rnacentral:SRP_RNA from 2 species